UUUGCUCUGGAAUUCCAAAGUUUAUUCAAAAAGUCACUUAAUAAAAGCACAGUUUUGCAAGUUUGUCUAAAACUCCAGAUAAUUAAUUUUGAACAAAAAUAAAACGUCUGACCAAAAUGGGCAAAGACAGUCUUGUGCAAACUGACACACACAUUCUGGGCAUUUCGGAAACUGGCUAAAGGGGCGCCCCAGCCCAGGAAGUUUCACCCAACGAGGGACUAGAGAGGCCAGAGCCCGGCUUCCCUGCUCGGCCCCCAUUACCCCCUGAGACGCUGGAUCCUGGCCUCAGCGUGUGCGCUGCCCGGAGCCUGAUGGGGAGGUGGGGGGACAGCAGCGGAAAGGGCUGUGAUGUCCUUUCUUAGCAAACAAACAAAAAAGGCACAGCAAGGAGCUGGCAAGUGGUGAGAGCCGGGAUCCGUUCCCUCACCCCGAGUCCUGCUGCACGCCGUCAGAGGCCAACCUGCUUGCUUUGGAGACGAGAAAGCAGACCUAGAAAAACUAUGUGGUUUGCUCAAAAUGACACACUUCCUAAGCGUGGUGGUGCUUUCUGUAAGGCUGACGUGCCUCUCAGCUCGGCUGGAAGAAAAACCAAACCUGGCCCAAGGGUUCUGAUCUCGCUGCCUGCCCACAUCCCGAGGUGACAGAAAAACUGCAGACUGGAGGUACGGAGGGACAAGCGACCACGGAACUCUUUCAAGAGCCCGGCCUGCGGCCUGUUCCCACGACAGCCCCGGUGCCACAGGCCAGAGCCCAGGGCCGUGCCGGGGAGUCAGCCCCAGUGCUGGGUGCCCGAAGAAAGCAGACGCGUUCGGCUGCCUGGAAAAGUGUGCUCUGAGGGCCACAGGGUGCCUUGAAGUCAGCAGGCCGUCUCAGCCGGGCAGCGCCCGGCCAGUGUCACAGCAGCAAGGGGAGCAGGGAUGCCCUGCAGGAGACGGGCUUUGUGCUGGCGUAACAGAGCCCGGGCCACGGCCCGCCCGGCCUCGCCCUCGCUGGCAGACCUCGCUGCAAGGCGCGCACGGGCAGCCUAGUUCCCAGCGGUCACUGUGGCUCAGCCACGUCAGACCUGCCUCUAGAUACACGCGACAUUGGUUCAGAGAGAGAGGGCCCGCCACUUCCAGAGCAAAGACAGACGCCUGCGUCCACCGCUGUGUUCCUCUCCUGUCCCUGGAGGCGGCGGGCUCCAAGGCCCUCUUGGAGCCUGUGACUGCCACGCUCCUGGCUUCGGCGUGGCCUGGGCCUUCAUGCGCCUUCUGAAUUAGGGUCUUGGAUUUUUAAGGCACAUUCAACUCACCCAAAAGCACACAUUGCAUCCCAAAGCCACCCAAUUUCUAAAGGUAACGCAGAGCAGGAACCAAAAAACUGACGUUUUGGACCGUGACUUCCCAAUCAGAACCCUGGGAGAGUGGGUACUUUCCCAGGUGCCUCCCGCUCCAAGAGCUGAACCGGACGAACGAAAUGAGAUGCACAGGCGAUCACGCCGCCAUCCUCAGCCCGCCCCUGCUCGUCCUCAGCAACGCUUGGAACCGGAAACCUCAGUUCAGACUGCGCUUUGUCCCAAAGACACACAGACACACGGACAGACACACCCAGAGCACCUUGGAGCCAGAAGAAAGAAAAGCCAAAAUCGGAGAAGAGCUGGGGUGAGAACGCCACUGCUCGGUCGAGCUGCUUCGGGGCAGAGGGAACAGGGUUUGGGGGUACAGCCCCAGGAGGAGUUGGAGCCAGGAGCAGUUACAGAGGAGCUGCCUGAGGGCCCAGCUGCCUCACAGCCUGGGGCCUGCUCGUUCUGUCACCAAGUCCCCAGCCUGACCAGGCCCAUCUGACUGGUCAGUGCAAAGGGCAAGAGCUGGGAGACACUGAGCCCACGGGGUCUCCAGGGUCCCAGCAGCGUUACGCGUCUCUGGGCCCACGGCUGUGAGGCCAGCGGUCAAGGAAAGCCAGCAUCAGCAGAAGCGGGGUCUUAGGAACAGACCUCGUGAAGCGGGGUCUCGAGCAAGUGACCCGACUGUGCCCCGCAGAGGGUGGCGUUGCUGAGCCACGAAGACAUCCACCUGCCCCCUCCUGUGCAGCCGCACAGAAAGCGGGGGACAGGUCCCCUGUGCCGCGGAGGAGUGUCCCACUCCGCCCCCAAGAUCGCCCUUCUCCCGAGGAGCCAGAAGAAGCUGUUCCACCUCCACAUCACAGACCCAGGAAGCCAGCGGGACUCGAGCGGAGAGACGGUCUGGUUCCCAUCACUCCCAGUGUCCGCAGCCCGCUUCUCGGCGUCGGGCGGAGGCAGCAGGUUGGACAGAGGGAGGCAGCGGCCCCGCCGCGUUUCCGUUUCGGGGGGAAGCGGGCUGCGCCAGCCCCUCAGAAAGGCCCCGGGCCAAGAGCUGUCCAAAUACUCGACCACGCUAACAAAACCCAGGGCUCCAGAGGGGCCCCGCGACCUGUGCCCCUGGCGCGGGCGACCCUUCCCUAAGCUCACACAGGGACCAGCCGACACAGCUCCCGCCGAGCUCCCACCUUCCUCACCUCGAUCCGAGCCCCACUAACACGUUCAAAACACCAGCCUCCGUGUGCUCUUUCCAAACACCGCUGCUGCUCGGCCGUAAAGAACGACGACUCCUCUCCGUCUGGGCAAGGGGCCCUCGCCAGUGCUAACCACAGACACGCGAGGGGGCCCAAGUCCUCGGAGCAGGCGAGCCACACGCGCACUCAGACACGGCCGGCCCCGAGCAGGCAGCUUGCAGCAGGGCGCUGCCCCUUUCCCACCGCAUGGCGGCGGUGUCAUCACCUCUCACCAUCGCUCCAACCCUGCACUCAGGCCCAGGACGGCCGGAGGAGAGCAGUUUCUUAGGGGGUGGGGGGGCCGGGCAGGCAAGGCAGCUGAAGUCCCCAGCUCUGCCGCCAGCCAGCCAGGUGACCAGCACAAGCCCCGAUUUCUGGAUGACCUCCAUGCAUCCUGCCCUCACCUCCUGCUCCCCCACCCUGCCGUGUCCCCGAGAAGAACCACACACACGCCCUCAGGGUCCGCGGCCGCGGCUGCCCGGAAGGGCACCUGGGGCACAGGCACAAGCCUACCUGUGUGCAGUCAGGGCUGGGUUCCAGGUCCCCAGGGGUCUGUGUAGGGACUGCUCAGCUCAGCAGGGAGCUCCUGGGACAGCUGACAGGGCUCCGGGACAGCCCUGCUCUGCGUGCCCUCAUGCUGAGCCUGGGUCCUCCAGGCCCCGUCCUCUUAAGCCACCCGGCCUUGGGGGCCGGCCUCCUGCCGCCUCUGUGUACACAGAAAUCCUAGAGAAGGCAAUCGAGCUCAACCCCUAGACCGGCAGCCAAUUCCCGCAGCCACAGCCGGGCCCCUGCAACCCUGACAAGGUCCCGCCACACCUCCUCGCAGGCUGAGACGCUAUGCAGCACGAGGGCCCCCGAGCCCUCCGCUCCGCUGAGCUGACGCGCUCAGGCUCACACACACUCACUGCGGCCCUCCCCGAGGGGGCCCGUCGUCGUCAGACUCGGGCUGAGUGGGUGGCUGGGCCACAACGGCCCCGCACUGUUUGCUUGCCCCCCACGCCUCCUCCUGCUCCUUGGCUGCAGAGGCCGCCCUGCGGCAAAACGUGACAGCAGCAGGAUGC
ensembl:lncRNA